rnacentral:rRNA from 1 species
ACUUUGAAGAGAGAGUUCAAAAGGGCGUGAAACCGCUUAGAAUAAAACGGACGGAGCCGUUAGUGGCCUUCCGGAAUCAGUCGUAACGACGCGCGUUAACGUGAUUAGUAUGAGCGCAAGCCUUACUAUGUCGCGUUAGGAAAUAGUAGCGUUCGUUUGAUGCAUUUCCGGAGGGUAUGCGCCGCGACCGAUGCGAAAGGCUAGCGAAACUGGCGAAUUGAGGACGAGGUACGUGGUAACACACGUUCAUUCGGAACCAGUUGGUCGGAUCUAAGUCGUUAGACCGCAGUAUGCAUCGAGCGCAGACAAUUAUAAUUAACGUCGGCGUAAAAUGCUCGCGCCAUCGAUUGAAAGUUGUCGGUUUAGUCGGCGCCUGCUUGCAGGUAACGGUUAUUACUCGGCUUCGUUCAGAUAUCGAGAGCGAGUUCGACGUUAAGGCGUCCGCGGCGUCCGAGACGGUCACCCGUCCGACCCGUCUUGAAACACGGACCAAGGAGUCUAACGUACGCGCGAGCUAAUGGGUGGAAAACCUAUAAGCGCAAUAAAAGUAAAAAGGUACGAUCCAAAGUAGUAAAUAUGACUUUGGCGCAGUACCGUCCCAUCCUAUCCGUAUAUCGGAAGGGUGGAGAUAGAGUGCAUACGUUGGGACCCGAAAGAUGGUGAACUAUGCCUGAGCAGAGCGAAGCCAGAGGAAACUCUGGUGGAGGUUCGUAGCGGUUCUGACGUGCAAAUCGAUCGUCAGACUUGGGUAUAGGGGCGAAA